rnacentral:tRNA from 2 species
GCCGAAGUGGCGGAACUGGCAGACGCACGCGACUCAAAAUCGCGCGGAGUGACCCUCCAUGGGGGUUCGAUUCCCCCCUUCGGCACCA